AUUGAACGCUGGCGGCAGGCCUAACACAUGCAAGUCGAACGAGUGGCGGACGGGUGAGUAAUGUCUGGGAAACUGCCCGAUGGAGGGGGCUAACUACUGGAAAAGGUAGCUAAUACCGCAUACCAUCGGAUGUGCCCAGAUGGGAUUAGCUAGUAGGUGGGGUAACGGCUCACCUAGGCGACGAUGCCUAGCUGGUCUGAGAGGCUGACCAGCCACACUGGAACUGAGACACGGCCCAGACUCCUACGGGAGGCAGCAGUGGGGAAUAUUGCACAAUGGGCGAAAGCCUGACGCAGCCAUGCCGCGUGUAUGAAGAAGGCUUUCGGGUUGUAAAGCACUUUCAGCGAGGAGGCGUUACUCGCAGAAGAAGCACCGGCUAACUCCGUGCCAGCAGCCGCGGUAAUUC
rnacentral:rRNA from 1 species